rnacentral:rRNA from 1 species
AAAUUGAAGAGUUUGAUCAUGGCUCAGAUUGAACGCUGGCGGCAGGCCUAACACAUGCAAGUCGAACGGUAACAGGAAACAGCUUGCUGUUUCGCUGACGAGUGGCGGACGGGUGAGUAAUGUCUGGGAAACUGCCUGAUGGAGGGGGAUAACUACUGGAAACGGUAGCUAAUACCGCAUAAUGUCGCAAGACUAAAGAGGGGGACCUUCGGGCCUCUUGCCAUCGGAUGUGCCCAGAUGGGAUUAGCUAGUAGGUGGGGUAACGGCUCACCUAGGCGACGAUCCCUAGCUGGUCUGAGAGGAUGACCAGCCACACUGGAACUGAGACACGGUCCAGACUCCUACGGGAGGCAGCAGUGGGGAAUAUUGCACAAUGGGCGCAAGCCUGAUGCAGCCAUGCCGCGUGUAUGAAGAAGGCCUUCGGGUUGUAAAGUACUUUCAGCGGGGAGGAAGGGAGUAAAGUUAAUACCUUUGCUCAUUGACGUUACCCGCAGAAGAAGCACCGGCUAACUCCGUGCCAGCAGCCGCGGUAAUACGGAGGGUGCAAGCGUUAAUCGGAAUUACUGGGCGUAAAGCGCACGCAGGCGGUUUGUUAAGUCAGAUGUGAAAUCCCCGGGCUCAACCUGGGAACUGCAUCUGAUACUGGCAAGCUUGAGUCUCGUAGAGGGGGGUAGAAUUCCAGGUGUAGCGGUGAAAU